GAUGAACGCUGGCGGCGUGCCUAAUACAUGCAAGUCGAGCGAACAGACGAGGAUCUUGCUCCUCUGACGUUAGCGGCGGACGGGUGAGUAACACGUGGAUAACCUACCUAUAAGACUUGGAUAACUUCGGGAAACCGGUGCUAAUACCGGAUAAUAUAUUGAACCGCAUGGUUCAAUAGUGAAAGACGGUUUUGCUGUCACUUAUAGAUGGAUCCGCGCCGCAUUAGCUAGUUGGUAAGGUAACGGCUUACCAAGGCAACGAUGCGUAGCCAACCUGAGAGGGUGAUCGGCCACACUGGAACUGAGACACGGUCCAGACUCCUACGGGAGGCAGCAGUAGGGAAUCUUCCGCAAUGGGCGAAAGCCUGACGGAGCAACGCCGCGUGAGUGAUGAAGGUCUUCGGAUCGUAAAACUCUGUUAUUAGGGAAGAACAAAUGUGUAAGUAACUAUGCACGUCUUGACGGUACCUAAUCAGAAAGCCACGGCUAACUACGUG
rnacentral:rRNA from 1 species